UUUUUUUUUCACUGUUGGCGUGUCGGACGCGUUGGAACCCCGUCAAAGCCGUAUCGGAGCCGUGUCAGCACCGCGUCGGUGCCGUGUCGGAGAAGUGAAAAAAGAGGACACUCGCCGGACACCGGAAUCUGACGAGUCAUACCCGUACCGAUGUUCGACACGUGUCCGACACCGACACGAUGCCAAAAAUGGCGUGUCCGUGCAACCUAGGUUGUGAGAGAUUUGAUUACUAACAGAGCAUCACCUUCGAAAGUCACCUCAUAGAGGCUUAAUUCGCUAACAAACUGAACAGCACGUUUGCAGACAAGAGCUUCGAUCUCAGCCACCGUUGGAGGGAGGAGGGAUACGCAUGGACUGGGCCCCUACAAUGUCACCUCUGUGGUCUCAGAUAACCACCCCUAGCCCCACCGAGUUACUGCUCUGAAACACAGCAUCGUCGAAAUUGGCUUUGUACUGAAAUUGGAUCGUGGGCACCAGUGAUGAUUUAUGGACGUCUGGGCUGCUACUGGCUUGAACUCCUGCGUGUUGAGGAAAUCCUAGAGCACUCCACUUGCAACCGAGAUGAUGUUAACCACAGGUUGAGUUGGAAGACUUAGUCGAGCCAUGUUUCACCAAUUCCAUAAGAACCAAGCUAUAUCAGCUCUGAAAUCUUCAGCAACCUACAAAAAACUUGAAAUAAGGUUAGUGAGGUCCCCAGGUGGAGGGUGAUCCGAGUAGUGAGCCCAGCUAAGAUUUCUCCACAAACUAUCAACCUCCAUACAACCCCACACCACAUGUAGAAUGUCUUCAGGCCAAGUCUUACACUAGAUAUGUAGACACCUCAUUUUGUACCCGGUUAAUAAACUUUAGUCCCCAGUUCCAAUGAUGAGUUUGACAUAUCUACAAAAGGCACUAAGGGGCUGGUUAAAAUAUCAAUCAAGUUGUGUUCCAUAGGCAAGGGAUGAAUGUGAGAGAUCGGUAAAGAAUCAAGCUUCAAAAGAUGAAUCAGUGGAAUUCGCGACUAGCUCAUGAGAAGCAACCUGCGAAAAGACCACGUAUGGAGCACAUGACUGGAAGCUGAAGAGUCAUGCCAGACUGUCAACUUCACAAGUGUUUCACGAGAAGGGCCAACCUACAAAGCACCCGCAAAACUGUCUAUUUGGCAAAAAGUUCAUUUGUUUUACCUAAGUCUUUACCUACACAAUAUAUACUCUCAUUACCCACGAAUUGUAUGGAGGCAAUUCAGAGAGAAAACCUUAGAUAGGUUUCUACAACACAACACAACAUACCCACCUUUUAGAGAGAGAACUACUCAUACUUAGUGAGAAAUCCUUAUAGUCUCUUUUCCUUUCCCUUUUCCAUUGUUAUAACUUGAGAGGAGAUUUGUACCUAAACAUAGCCCACACCUUUUUUGUGUAUAGAGAGUGUUUUGGAGCUUGGGAAACUUUGGGGAUUUGCCAAAAAAAGUGGGUGAAGUUUGGCAGAUGCAAUCGGGCGUAUUAUGGGAUCUGGAUAGCUAGUGAAGACAAAACUCCGAGAAGUCCGUUGGUAGCAGGAGCUUGGAGGGUUCAAGUACAUUGGGUAGACUAGGAUUAGAGGGUCUUUUGUUAUUCGUGUACUCCAACUUAUUCACUAGUGGAUCGAUUUCGACUUGAAGGGUUGCACAGAGGUUUUUUGCCGAGUUCUUCGGUAUCCACUUCGAUAACACAUCUUGGUGUUGUCU